GGGAAAAGAACUGGAUUUGCAAAGCACUGCACUUGGAUGCAAUAUCAUCACUUACAGUAAUGAAAGUGAGGCCCUGUCCAUGGAGCAGCCAAAACUUGACUGAAGAGAGCCUUGUUCUACUCAACCUUUCCCUUGAAAUACAGCAGCAAAGUGAACAUUCCAAAGACAUUAAAAAAGUAAAAGACAGUGAAGUUUGGAGAGAAAUGCUUCCUAGUACUGGGUGUGACUGGGAAUGCAAAACAACUCAUUCAUACCACAGAGAGAAGGUGAAUGGACUUUAACAGACCCUGGAUAGUAGUUCUGCCACACAAUGG